CACGUAGGCACCAAGCGUUAUCCGGAUUUAUUGGGCGUAAAGAGCUCGUAGGCGGUUCGGCAAGUCGGGUGUGAAAACUCUGGGCUCAACCCAGAGAGGCCACCCGAUACUGCUGUGACUAGAGUGCGGUAGGGGAGCGGGGAAUUCCUGGUGUAGCGGUGAAAUGCGCAGAUAUCAGGAGGAACACCAGCGGCGAAGGCGCCGCUCUGGGCCGUAACUGACGCUGAGGAGCGAAAGCAUGGGUAGCAAACAGG
rnacentral:rRNA from 1 species